UUCCAAUUUAGUUUUUCUGUGGAAGAGUUCUGGUUGAAAUAGCUUCUCUUAAAUGAGGUAUAAUUUUCUUCUCUGUAACGUCUGCCAACUGUCCUCUGUGGCCAAUCACUUUUUCAAAAUCCAGUCUUCAAAGAAAAUUUUCAGUCCCAGAGUCUUUGCCUCCCCAGCCCAACACCCCCAUUUCAUCUUCUAGUCUUUGUCAUGUGAUUGAGCUGGAGGGAUUGCCUGGUAACACCCAAAUCCUGCCACCCUCUCUCAGCCACAGCCACACUGGCUUAAGACCUAGGCCUGGCCCAUACCCCAGCCUACAAGGGGCCCUCCCCAGAACAGUCAGAGUGUGUCUUGGUCUGGGGCAUGCACAAUGUGAGGGGCAGGACUGCUCAUAGAUGUGGUGACAGUGCCUGAGAUGACUGAUGCUUUCAGAGCAAGAACUCACUGCUCUCAGAAGCAGAGACUUAGAAAACGUCCUCAAGCAAGAUGCUACUCACCCUGUCCUUUGGGAAGCUCUCCGAUGAGACAUUUGUAGCUAAGAAUUGGAAUGUUCACCAUGGGGCCUCUCUUUGCUGGACCUUAUAAUCAAUCAAUACCCCCAGCCAUUGUCCAGUGGUUUACAUUCCCCACUUCCCUUUGCCCCCAGACAGAUAGGGAACUCACUCUAAAAAGAGUCCCUCUCCCCAGCCUUCCAGAUCGAACACCUUUGAAAUGAAGAGGCACAGGCCUUUUAUGAAGCACCCCCAACUCUUACCCCUCAGGCCAAGACUGUCCCUUUGAGCCGUUCCAGGGGCAUGACUCCUGCUUGUUUACUUGGAACAGAUGCCCUUAGCCCCCACCUUUACAGUUCGCCCACCUGCCUUUUUACAGAAUACAUUUACACCCCUGCCCUAGCCUCCCAGCCUCAAGGGCCAAAACCAUUAACCCACUUAUUUCUCCCUCCCUGACCUGAACAAGUGGCCGUCACUCAGGGCAGGCAGGCCUGCCAUCUUCUGACCUCCCUGCCCCCUUGACCUCUGUUGGCCUGCCUGUGUAUGUGACCAGCCAACCGAGAGGGAGGAUCCUGCUCCCUUGUCCUAGGGGCUCUUGCUAGUAACAUUUCCAAAGUUUUCUGACCUCAGCUGACACCCUCCAGAGGAUUUCAGGGAAGGCAGACCCUCCUGCCUUUCUUAGCCAUCCAGCUUUCUUAGCCUAUAUUUGCCACCGGCUUUGCUGCAGUACCUUAGAGGCUUUCUCUGUGAGAUCCAAGGCAGGCCUAGACACAGGGCCAGCCUGUGCUCAUAAGGUCCACACAGAACCCUUGUCCUUGAAAUUGUUUAGUCCAUGGGGAUAUAGGGUCCCCAGAUCUUAGAAGGUUAGAGCUAGAGAGGGCAGCUGGUCUUGCCCUCUGACCAGCAGUCCCCAUGCAAGAGCUGGGAGGAGGUCCAGGCAGCAGCAUCAGUCUGACAAUGUGGGAAGUUCUCUGACCCUUAGGAGGCAGCAUGGAGUAAUAGAAAGGACACCUCAGGCUUCAGAGUCAGGCCAACCUGGGUUUGAAUCUCAGCUCUCCCACCUACUAGCUCUGUUGGCUUGGACAUGUCCCCUUAACUCUCUAAGCCUUAGUUUUUUUGUCUGUAAAGUAACACCUGGGAAGUUUCACAGGCAUUAGAGAGCAUAAGGAUUAGUGAUAAUGUGUGUAAAAGCCUCUCGUACAGGUAGUAUUCCAUGAUUGUAUGAAGAAGUCAAACUCACCCUGGCAGCUGAAAUACCAUUCCUCCCCCUCCCCUACCUAACACCUUCUUCUGUUUCUGCCCACUCUGCCUAAAACACCAUUGUGUUCCCUGUCUUCUCAUCUAGAUCCUUGGACACUUCAAGGCUUCUGUCUGUCAGGAAGCCUCUCCUGGAGGUCUGAUUCACUCUGAUAGCACCACCACUGAACUCUUCAGAGGUUUGGGUUGGGUACUUAGCACAGAAAGGCCACUUCUUCAUCUUUGGGAGGACCUGUAACAUGGUGAAAAGAACGCAAGCUUGGGGGUUAGACAGACCUGGGUUUAAAUCUCAACUCUGUAGUGUGACUCUAGGUAAGCCAGUUGCCAUCUUUAACACCAUGGGCCUCAGGGCGUCCUAAGAUGAAUCUGGUAAAUUGUCUUGACCCUGAGAGACUCCCAGACUGGUGGAGGACACAGAUAUGGAAACAGGCAGUGAUAGCAGGCAGGGGCUCCAGCAAGGUCCUGGACAAGGGGCUCUGGGGACAUAGAGGAGGAAAUACCUGCUUCUGCCUGGUGAGCAGGGUGGUGGAGUCCAUUACAGAAGGCUUCCCAGAGGACAGCGUGCUUCAGCCUUAUCAGGGAGGGUAAUGGAAAUUUGCCAGACGGAUUUCUGUGGAAGGGUUCUGGGUUUACCGGUGCCGAUUUUCUACCUCCAACCUUCACAGAAAAGUGGGUCUGGCUUCUGUGGUUUUCAUCUCUGAAGAUGCUGCUUCUGCCUGUGUUGCUGGCUUACGAGCAGGAAGGCUCUGCUUUAGCAACUGACUGCCAAGUACAAGAAAGGGUUGGAGGAAGGAAGGAGAGGCAGGACAAGUGGGAAGACAAGUAAUCAGAGAAGGCCUCGCCCUAGGCACCUGGGAAAUAAAGAUGAUCCAGACAUGGUCUUUGCCCUUAAGGAGCUCUUAGGUCAGUGUGGCAAUCAGACAUUUUAGCAAAAAAUUGCUAUCUAAUGUAUUAAUGGAGAUUAAGGGAUCACAAAGAAAAGACCUUUUAAAUCUCUGGGGAGGGCAGGGAAAGCAUGAUAUAGGAGAUGGUGUGCACACUAAGUCUUAAAGGAUGAAUGCAAGUUUAUCAGAUGGAUGAGGGAGAAAGGAAGAGGGAAUAGCAUGUUCAGAGGUACGGAGUAUGAAGCAGUAUACUUUAUUCAAUACAUUGCAGGUAGUUCAGAAGAGCUGAAUUUAUGGGGUAUGGAUUGAAGGGUCAGAAUGAGAAGCAGGAGCUGAUAACAAAGGCCUCUAACAUAAGCUCUGCUAAGGAAAUAGAACUAUCCCCCAGUGGGAAACCAUUAAGAUUAAGGGGAGGGAAGGAUCAGAUUUAUGUUUAAUGUGAAAGAUGGUUUAGAAGUUUCAAAAAUGUGUAUCAGUAAUUGAAUAGAUAAGUAAAUUAUGGACUGUUCACACAAUGGAAUAAUAUAUAGAAUGAAUGAAUGAA